UUCUGGGUGAUGAAAGGUUGAAAUUCUCCCUGCUGUGAACUCAAAUGUAGAGCACCACCCACCUCAGAGAAGGCCACCAUGCAGGAGGUGGCUUUGGAUUCCUUGUAUGAGCCGGCUUGAGUUAAGACAGAAGCUAGAAGAAUUCCAGAAAGCAUCCCAGCCAAACUAGAAAUCAAUUUUAGAGACUUAAUGAUGUCCAGAGUUCUGUUGACAUAAAAAGUGGGAAA